GACGCACGCUGGCGGCGUGCCUAAUACAUGCAAGUAGGACGCAGUUGCGAACGGGUGAGUAACGCGUAGGUAACUACCUAUUAGAGGGGGAUAACUAUUGGAAAAGAUAGCUAAUACCGCAUACUAGUAGAUGGACCUGCGUUGUAUUAGCUAGUAGGUAGGGUAAUGACCUACUUAGCCAACGAGACAUAGCCGACCUGAUGGGGUGAUCGUCCACACUGGGACUGAGACACGUCCCAGACUCCUACGGGAGGCAGCAGUAGGGAAUCUUCGGAAAGGGGUGGAACCCUGACCGAGCAACGCCGCGUGAGUGAAGAAGGUUUUCGGAUCGUAAAGCUCUGUUGUUAAGGAAGCGGUACUUAACCAGAAAGGGACGGCGAACUACGUGCCAGCAGACGCGGUAAUAC
rnacentral:rRNA from 1 species